AUCGAACGCUGGCGGCAGGCCUAACACAUGCAAGUCGAACGAGUGGCGGACGGGUGAGUAAUGUCUGGGAAACUGCCCGAUGGAGGGGGAUAACUACUGGAAACGGUAGCUAAUACCGCAUACUAUCGGAUGUGCCCAGAUGGGAUUAGCUAGUGGGUGGGGUAACGGCUCACAUAGGCGACGAUCCCUAGCUGGUCUGAGAGGAUGACCAGCCACAAUGGAACUGAGACACGGGCCAGACUCCUACGGGAGGCAGCAGUGGGGAAUAUUGCACAAGGGGCGAAAGCCUGAUGCAGCAAUGCCGCGUGUAUGAAGAAGGCCUUCGGGUUGUAAAGUACUUUCAGCGAGGAGGCGUUACUCGCAGAGGAAGCACCGGCUAACUCCGUGCCAGCAGCCGCGGUAAUAC
rnacentral:rRNA from 1 species